rnacentral:rRNA from 1 species
UGGGGAAUUUUGGACAAUGGGCGAAAGCCUGAUCCAGCAAUGCCGCGUGCAGGAUGAAGGCCUUCGGGUUGUAAACUGCUUUUGUACGGAACGAAACGGCGAGCUCUAAUAAAGUUUGCUAAUGACGGUACCGUAAGAAUAAGCACCGGCUAACUACGUGCCAGCAGCCGCGGUAAUACGUAGGGUGCGAGCGUUAAUCGGAAUUACUGGGCGUAAAGCGUGCGCAGGCGGUUAUAUAAGACAGAUGUGAAAUCCCCGGGCUCAACCUGGGACCUGCAUUUGUGACUGUAUAGCUAGAGUACGGUAGAGGGGGAUGGAAUUCCGCGUGUAGCAGUGAAAUGCGUAGAUAUGCGGAGGAACACCGAUGGCGAAGGCAAUCCCCUGGACCUGUACUGACGCUCAUGCACGAAAGCGUGGGGAGCAAACAGGAUUAGAUACCCCUGUAGUCCCUGAGCGGGCUGGCAAGGCGCAU